UAAAUCCCCAAAUUUAAUCUAAAACCCUAAAUCAGCCAAUUCUGUAAGAACGUUCUUUCUAUUGUUUAUCCCUCGCAGAAACCUCUGAUAAUCUUCACUAGAACAUUCUUAAUUCUUUCAAGCAGACACCGAUCGGAUUCAAGCUCAAUGGCAGUUCGAUCCUAGAUAAAUCGGAUUCCCAUUAAUCCGACCUCCAAUACUUAUUGCCUCUGGUUCUCCGAUUCUCAGCAUCCAGUAUUACGCCUUAAUCUCAGGCUUCAUUCCUCUCUUGCUCUUUAUCCCUCUCAACAGAUCCCUAUUCCAAUACCGCCAAGUCUCCUUUUUUCAGUGCGUCUCCAUCUCAUUUUCAGAUAUUGAAGCAGAGAAAAGUAAAAAUAAAUAAAUUAAGAAUUAAAAAUGAAAUUCUUGGGUUGGUACGUGAAGAUAGCAAUCGUUUCAGCCAUGAUUGGAGGCUCCAUGGAGUUGUUCAUGGUCAAAACUGGCUUCUAUGACAAGGUAACCGAAUUGGAGGCAGAAAAGAGGGCCUGGGAUAGUUCCCCUGAAGCCAAAGCCAUUAAAGAGGCUCUCAAUCCGUGGAGAAAGCAUGAUGCAGAACCAAAGAGAAAUUCUUAGUUUGCCCACAUUCCGAACAAUCGAGUAUAUGACUCUAUACACCGGACUCUGUGUCUUCUGCAGGAAUUCUGUCAUUACAACCUUGAGGAAGAGCUUCAAACCAAAAUCUUGUCAAUCUCUUUUUGUUUUGUUUUGUUCUUUUGAGCAUGGAAUUGUAACUCAGCUAGAUAAUUGAAAUUUGUUAGGUUGUGCUGUAACAUUUUCCCAUGUGUUAGUAUAUUCAGCACUUGAUUGAAGUAGCAUAAUGAAAGGCUGAAAUCCUGAAGUAGCAAAAAAUGAACCAA